rnacentral:misc_RNA from 1 species
GAUGAAGAACGUAGCGAAAUGCGAUAAGUAAUGUGAACUGCAGAAUUCAGUGAAUCAUCGAAUCUUUGAACGCACAUUGCGCCCGCCAGUAUUCUGGCGGGCAUGCCUGUUCGAGCGUCAUUACAACCCUCAGGCCCCCGGGCCUGGCGUUGGGGAUCGGCGGAAGCCCCCUGCGGGCACAACGCCGUCCCCCAAAUACAGUGGCGGUCCCGCCGCAGCUUCCAUUGCGUAGUAGCUAACACCUCGCAACUGGAGAGCGGCGCGGCCACGCCGUAAAACACCCAACUUCUGAAUGUUGACCUCGAAUCAGGUAGGAAUACCCGCUGAACUUAAGCAUAUCAAUAAGCGGAGGA